rnacentral:misc_RNA from 1 species
GAUGAAGAACGCAGCGAAAUGCGAUACGUAGUGUGAAUUGCAGAAUUCAGUGAAUCAUCGAAUCUUUGAACGCACAUUGCGCCCUUUGGUAUUCCAAAGGGCAUGCCUGUUCGAGCGUCAUUUGCACCCUCAAGCUUUGCUUGGUGUUGGGCGUCUUGUCUCCAGUCCGCUGGAGACUCGCCUUAAAGUCAUUGGCAGCCGGCCUACUGGUUUCGGAGCGCAGCACAAGUCGCACUCUUUUCCAGCCAAGGUCAGUGUCCAACAAGCCUUUUUUCAACUUUUGACCUCGGAUCAGGUAGGGAUACCCGCUGAACUUAAGCAUAUCAAUAAGCGGAGGA